GCACCAGUGGUGUAUGGAACACACACCGACUUGAUUCCAUAUCGAAUCUUGACCGAAUCGUCAGUCGACGGUGAGCGCUGAGCCGGGGUUCGAUUCCCCGCUGGUGCA